ensembl:lncRNA
GAAAGAGUAUGACCAAAAAGGACAGGAGGACCUCUUACUGUUUAGUAUUUAAGACUCAAUAUGAGGCUGGGAAAAAAAAAAAAUGACAAAGCUUUGAAAUGUUGUGCAGACGCCAGCUUUACUGCCGUAUGGAGUCAAAAAGGGGUUUUGCAAUUGACUUUGAAUGGACAGCAGGGUAGGACUGAAGUUUUCAGUGGAGUUACUGCUGUCUCCCUCUCAUCGUUGAAGCGUCCCAUCCAGCACUGCUGGAGGGGACUGAACAUCUGCCCUCAGAAAGGGGCAUAAGACCACGACGAGCGCAAAGCUGAAAGCGAACGGACAAUCGUGGUUAUUUUGUCUCGGAAGAAAAGCAGCCAGAUAAAGUCACAGAGCGCUUCGUCCCGGGUUUCAUGGAAGACUUAUAGUCGCAGCGUUAGGAAAAAGUUAAAGCAAAGUCGCUUUUUAAAAAAGAAAAAAAGAAAAAAAACACAAUAAAAGAUUUUAUUGGAGAGCGACAGCUCUAACACUGUGCACAGCCAUCGGAAGGCAUCAGCAGCACGCUCAAAGCCAAGGGUAAAGCUGUGGCAGCCUCUCCCGUCACGCAGCGCUGCCUACCUGCUCCCACCUCGCCCUGCACCCUUGUUAUGACGGCAGGGGAGAGGGGCCGAGGCCGUCGGCCCACACAAACCACGAGGGAUCCCCAGCUGCGGAGCGGCGCGGUGUUCCAACAGGUUGUUGCGCUGUCACAUACAUCGCAACGAGCCGCUCUGCGCGGCGCCGAGAGCGCAGAUCGAGGCGCGGCAGGUUCUGCUCUGCCACCUAUGAGCCGCUCCGCACGCUGCACCUGGAGCGGGGCUGGAGCUCCGGAUCCCGUGGAGCUCUGCUCCGCUCGGAGCGGCCGGCGUGGAGGAGGCACCCGGCAGGAGAAAAUACACUCGCGUUUCGUUAA